rnacentral:tRNA from 2 species
GGGCGCGUAGCUCAGAGGAUAGAGCAACUGCCUUCUAAGCAGUCGGCCGCAGGUUCGAAUCCUGCCGCGCUCG